CGGACGGGUGAGUAAUGUCUGGGAAACUGCCUGAUGGAGGGGGAUAACUACUGGAAACGGUAGCUAAUACCGCAUAACGUCGCAAGACCAAAGAGGGGGACCUUCGGGCCUCUUGCCGUCGGAUGUGCCCAGAUGGGAUUAGCUAGUAGGUGGGGUAACGGCUCACCUAGGCGACGAUCCCUAGCUGGUCUGAGAGGAUGACCAGCCACACUGGAACUGAGACACGGUCCAG
rnacentral:rRNA from 1 species